rnacentral:misc_RNA from 1 species
GAUGAAGAACGCAGCGAAAUGCGAUAAGUAAUGUGAAUUGCAGAAUUCAGUGAAUCAUCGAAUAUUUGAACGCACAUUGCGACCCCUGGUAUUCCGGGGGGCAUGCCUGUUCGAGCGUCAUUUCACCACUCAAGCCUCGCUUGGUAUUGGGCAACGCGGUCCGCCGCGUGCCUCAAAUCGUCCGGCUGGGUCUUCUGUCCCCUAAGCGUUGUGGAAACUAUUCGCUAAAGGGUGUUCGGGAGGCUACGCCGUAAAACAACCCCAUUUCUAAGGUUGACCUCGGAUCAGGUAGGGAUACCCGCUGAACUUAAGCAUAUCAAUAAGCGGAGGA